GAGUUUGAUCCUGGCUCAGAGCGAACGCUGGCGGCAGGCCUAACACAUGCAAGUCGAACGGGCACCUUCGGGUGUCAGUGGCAGACGGGUGAGUAACACGUGGGAAUGUGCCCUUCAGUUCGGAACAACCCAGGGAAACUUGGGCUAAUACCGGAUACGCCCUUUGGGGAAAGAUUUAUCGCUGAAGGAUCGGCCCGCGUCUGAUUAGCUAGUUGGUAGGGUAAUGGCCUACCAAGGCGACGAUCAGUAGCUGGUCUGAGAGGAUGAUCAGCCACACUGGGACUGAGACACGGCCCAGACUCCUACGGGAGGCAGCAGUGGGGAAUAUUGGACAAUGGGCGAAAGCCUGAUCCAGCCAUGCCGCGUGAGUGAUGAAGGCCCUAGGGUUGUAAAGCUCUUUUGCCGGGACGAUAAUGACAGUACCCGGAGAAUAAGUCCGGCUAACUUCGUGCCAGCCGCCGCGGUAAC
rnacentral:rRNA from 1 species